rnacentral:tRNA from 1 species
GCGGGAAUAGCUCAGUUGGUAGAGCGACACCUUGCCAAGGUGUAGGUCGCGAGUUCGAGUCUCGUUUCCCGCUCCA